rnacentral:rRNA from 1 species
AUUGAACGCUGGCGGAAUGCUUUACACAUGCAAGUCGAACGGCAGCACGGGUGCUUGCACCUGGUGGCGAGUGGCGAACGGGUGAGUAAUACAUCGGAACGUGCCCAGUUGUGGGGGAUAACUAACCGAAAGGUUAGCUAAUACCGCAUACCACCUGAGGGUGAAAGCGGGGGACCUUAAGUACUCGCACAAUUGCAGAGGCCGAUUUCUGAUUAGCUAGUUGGAUAGGUAAAGGCUCACCAAGGCGACGAUCAGUAGCUGGUCUGAGAGGAUGAUCAGCCACACUGGAACUGAGACGCGGUCCAGACUCCUACGGGAGGCAGCAGUGGGGAAUUUUGGACAAUGGGGGCAACCCUGAUCCAGCCAUUCCGCGUGAGUGAAGAAGGCCUUCGGGUUGUAAAGCUCUUUCGGCAGGGAAGAAACGCUCUGGCUUAAUACGCCGGGGUAAUGACGGUACCUGAAGAAGAAGCACCGGCUAACUACGUGCCAGCAGCCGCCGUAACAC